UACGCAGGGGGCUAGCGUUGCUCGGAAUUACUGGGCGUAAAGGGCGCGUAGGCGGAUAGUUUAGUCAGAGGUGAAAGCCCAGGGCUCAACCUUGGAACUGCCUUUGAUACUGGCUAUCUUGAGUUCGGGAGAGGUGAGUGGAAUGCCGAGUGUAGAGGUGAAAUUCGUAGAUAUUCGGCGGAACACCAGUGGCGAAGGCGACUCACUGGCCCGAUACUGACGCUGAGGCGCGAAAGCGUGGGGAGCAAACAGG
rnacentral:rRNA from 1 species